UGAGGACCCUAAUGAUCACCAAAUUGGCUGAAAUUUUGCAGAGAUGAUCUACACAAUAUUAUCUAGAUACUAGACGGUGGAGAUGAGGAAAUUCGAUCGAAAAGUGGUGCAAAAAUGGAAAUCCGCACCAAAACCAUUGGUGCGGACGUCCGCACCUGAUCAGCAUUGUAUAUAUAUAUAUAAUAAUAAUAAUCUUACAAGUCCCUCCAUCCAUUUGACUGGUGUGGCAUGAACACUUUGGUGCACCUUGAUGGCGCUGGGUUUGAUGAUUUGGUGGUUUGUGGUGGAGUAAUAUUGGCUUCAGAAUUAGUGGAUGAGUGAUCUUGAACUUUCUUUCCAAUAUUUAUGUUCCAGUAAUUCAAGAUUCCAUUGUCUGUUCAGCCGGUAUCUGCACCAAUAAGUAAUACAGUAAAUAAUAAAAACAUACAUAUUGUGUAUAUGCUCUUAGCCUCUAUCUAGUGUUAAGUUGAUGUGGAAAGAUAAAUUGAUGUGGAACUGUUAAGUAGAAUCCCAGAGUGUUCUUUGCCUACCAAUAAAUUCAGAUCUAGCCAUGACAUUGUACGAUAGAUCAACUAAUGAUACCUCAACAAACAUGAACACAAAAGACUAAAUCUUGUACAAAGGAUUUAGGGAUGUGUUUGAACAAAAGAAACAUGGAACAAAAUGGAAUAAAAUCAUCAAAAUGAUAUUGAUUUCUCCCCGAAUCUAAAUAACUUAGAAACGAAUGAAAUAUAGUCUCAAGUCUCAAGUCUCAACUAACAAAAAAUGUGUCUGCUUUUUCACAACAUUCAUAACCAUACUGACCCACAAAAGGCAUGCGCUAUUGUUAGAUAAAUACAAANNNNNNNNNNNNNNNNNNNNGUAUAG
rnacentral:lncRNA from 1 species